GCCCUGGUGGUGCAGCCCGGUUAACAUCGUCGGCUGUCGCCCGACGGACGCGGGUUCAAAUCCCGCCCAGGGCGCCA
rnacentral:tRNA from 1 species